GACGAACGCUGGCGGCGUGCUUAACACAUGCAAGUCGAACGGAAAGGCCCUGCUUUUGUGGGUUUCUCGAGUGGCGAACGGGUGAGUAACACGUGAGUAACCUGCCCUUGACUUUGGGAUAACUUCAGGAAACUGGGGCUAAUACCGGAUAUGAGCUCCUGCUGCAUGGUGGUGGUUGGAAAGUUUCGGCGGUUGGGGAUGGAAUCGCGGCUUAUCAGCUUGUUGGUGGGGUAGUGGCUUACCAAGGCUUUGACGGGUAGCCGGCCUGAGAGGGUGACCGGCCACAUUGGGACUGAGAUAAGGCACAGACUCCUACGGGAGGCAGCAGUGGGGAAUAUUGCACAAUGGGCGGAAGCCUGAUGCAGAAACGCCGCGUGCGGGAUGACGGCCUUAGGGUUGUAAAACGAUUUCGCAUGUGACGAAGCGUGAGUGACGGUAAUGGGUAAAGAAGCACCGGCUAACUACGUG
rnacentral:rRNA from 1 species